rnacentral:rRNA from 1 species
AGUGAACGCUGGCGGUAGGCCUAACACAUGCAAGUCGAACGGCAGCACAGUAAGAGCUUGCUCUUACGGGUGGCGAGUGGCGGACGGGUGAGGAAUACAUCGGAAUCUACUUUUUCGUGGGGGAUAACGUAGGGAAACUUACGCUAAUACCGCAUACGACCUACGGGUGAAACCAGGGGAUCUUCGGACCUUGCGCGAUUGAUUGAGCCGAUGUCGGAUUAGCUAGUUGGCGGGGUAAAGGCCCACCAAGGCGACGAUCCGUAGCUGGUCUGAGAGAAUGAUCAGCCACACUGGAACUGAGACACGGUCCAGACUCCUACGGGAGGCAGCAGUGGGGAAUAUUGGACAAUGGGCGCAAGCCUGAUCCAGCCAUACCGCGUGGGUGAAGAAGGCCUUCGGGUUGUAAAGCCCUUUUGUUGGGAAAGAAAAGCAGCAGGUUAAUACCCCGCUGUUCUGACGGUACCCAAAGAAUAAGCACCGGCUAACUUCGUG